GAUUUCAACUGAAAAAAUCAUCAAUAACAAAGUGGUAUAAUUCAUCAAGAUCUAUAACUUCUAUUUUGGUCAUUUCUUUAUCCAACAAAGUGAUUUAUAAGAUUGUUCACAAAAUGUAUAUCUCUCGUAUAGUUUUUAAGAUUCUUCAUCUCUUGUAUUGUUCACAAAAUGUUCCCAAAAUGUAAGAUUUGUAAGAGAUGUACAUUUUGUAAAUAAUCUUACAAAUCACUUUAUCGGAUGAAGAAAAAAUCAAAAUAGAAGUUAUACAUCUUGAUGAGUUAUACAACUUUGUUAUUGAUGACUUUUUCAGUUGAAAUU
rnacentral:pre_miRNA from 1 species